GACGUAGGGCGCGAGCGUUGUCCGGAUUUAUUGGGCGUAAAGAGCUCGUAGGCGGCUUGUUGCGUCGACUGUGAAAACCCGCGGCUCAACCGUGUGGCUUGCAGUCGAUACGGGCAGACUAGAAUUCGGUAGGGGAGACUGGAAUUCCCAGUGUAGCGGUGAAAUGCGUAGAUAUUGGGAGGAACACCGGUGGCGAAGGCGGCCCCCUGGACCGGUACUGACGCUGAGGCGCGAAAGCGUGGGUAGCAAACGGG
rnacentral:rRNA from 1 species